GGCCGACUAGCUCAGUUGGUUAGAGCGUCGUGCUAAUACCGUAAAGGUUUACGCGAAGGUCUUGGGUUCGAUCCCCACGUUGGCCA
rfam:Pisolithus microcarpus 441 unplaced genomic scaffold scaffold_19, whole genome shotgun sequence.